AAGCUUUAGAGUGUCAGAGAAAUCAGAGCAGGCUCCAGCAGGAUGCUGGAUUUGAGCAAUGGGUCAGAUGUGAGCCAGUGAGAACUAGAAAGGACUUUCCACACAUGGGAAAAGCAGAAACAGAGGCAAUGAGGAAAAAUCACUAUGUUUACAGAAUAUGUGAGGAUAUCCUAGGCAGAGAAAAGUUUCCUGCUGGGAAAUAAAGGUAAUCUUAGGAAAAAGGAUCCAGCUUAUUGAGGACUUUAAAUUCCAAACCAGUAGUUGAAAUAGAUUACUAUUAAUGAUCAUGACAGAGUUUGAGAAAAACUAACCUGGCAAUAGUUCAAAGGAUGAAUUGAAGAUUAAGAGAUAAAUAAACCGGUUUGAACAUAAAUCCAGGUAAGAAGCCCCAGUUAGGAUCAAAGCUAUGCAGAUGGGGAAUAGGGACCUCUAUCGAGAUGGUUUAUAUUGGAGUGAAUGAAGCACACAAGCAAGGCUUGAACACGUGGUCAACCUAUCCUGGAAAUGAGUUUAGCUGCACUUGGUUUCUCCUUAAGAUCUUUUAAGUAAGGAGUCCCACCUCAGAUUCCGUUCACAGAGAAAAUGAUUCAAGACAGCUAGUGAGAGGAAUGGUCCUAGGAAGCCAACUGGAUGUAGGUUUGGCGUUGGAGUGCUUAUCCACUAGAUGGCAAUGAGAACCCCAUCAUCGGUAUACCAGAAAUUGCACCAACCAGAAUGCCGGAGGACCUGCAACCAGAUGGAAUGACAAUAACAUGAGAAACAACUGGCUCUGAGUGGAGGUUGCAUUUGGCUGAUUGGAGCUGCCCAAGUCAGAGAUGAAGCCUCCUUCCACAGUCUACAGAGGCAGCUGUCCAGCCAUGGACUACACUUGCCAGCCUUUCUUGCAACUCGAUAGGGCCAUGUGAAUAUUUCUCCCUGAGAACAAUUGAGAUGUAUUCUCUCAAGACCAAGAUUAAGAAUCUUUCUCCAUUUGUUUUUUCCCUAUGCUCCUCCUGCGUGUAAAGGGUGAAAACCCUGGGAAGAGGAGGCCACAGAUAAAAGGAGGCUGAGUUCCUGAGUCACCAUGUGGAAGCUGCCGCCAGUCAGGAUUGUUAAAUGACUGGGGUCACAGUCGCAACAGCUGCAUUACUCUAAUAUCCUCUCUCUGUGAAUUCUAAUGGGAUUCCUGACAUACUGGGAAGUGGGGCUGGAUGCUUCUGAAAGCUCCUUCUGAUACACAUUCUCUGGCACAUUUCUUCUGAAAUUUAUAAACUAUUGUACUUGAAAGUUAUGUUGUCAAAUAGGAUCAUUUAAUUAUCCUGUAGUAAAUAUUGCAGAGCUUAAAACCACUGCGUCAGAAGAACUGGUCUCUAGCUCUGGCUCUUCUACAAGCCUGUUAUAGAGUCUGGAAAAUAUAACUUUACUUCUCUGAGCCUCAGUUUCAUCAACUGUAAAAUACAAAUAAAAUGCAGUGUGAACGAGGAGAGACAAUAUGACCUCUAAAUUCCUUUCAAAUAAAAUCUCUUCGAGAAAUGUACAGCAACAGCUCUUUACAGGCAGAGAGAAGUGGGAGCACAGAACUUUAGUGCAUUAAUGAAUAUUGCACUAAACUUAACCUAUAAUAAACUCUUUAAUCACAGAGUAUCUUUUAUUAUUGGACUUAAAAAAUUGGAGAUGAGUCAUUAGGCUCUUCGCUUUUGACUCUAGAUAUAGUC
ensembl:lncRNA